UGAGUAACCUGCCCUUAACUCUGGGAUAAGCCUGGGAAACUGGGUCUAAUACCGGAUAUGACUCCUCAUCGCAUGGUGGGGGGUGGAAAGCUUUUUGUGGUUUUGGAUGGACUCGCGGCCUAUCAGCUUGUUGGUGAGGUAAUGGCUCACCAAGGCGACGACGGGUAGCCGGCCUGAGAGGGUGACCGGCCACACUGGGACUGAGACACGGCCCAGACUCCUACCGGAGGCAG
rnacentral:rRNA from 1 species